ensembl:lncRNA
UGUGGCGGCUGCGUGGUGUGCGUUGCGUGCGUUGCGUGCGUGGGUGUUGCGCGCGUGGGGCAGAGGUGAGAGCCGAAGGGUAUGCUGGGGGGACACCCGGCGCCCGCCGGCGGGAGUGCAGUAAGGCUGUCAGCGGACCUCAGCUGCCAGGAAACUCAGAAAUGGAAAACUCUGUGAGAUAAGUUUGGUGUCAAACAUCAUAGCUAAACAUUUUCAUUAAAAGAAGUUUGGAGUCACCUAAAUGUGGAGGUAAGGAGCUAACAUCUGUCUAACAGAUUAAUUGGCCAUUGUUGUCAUUUUAUGAAUCACAUAAAAAAGGCUUUAGUAAAUGACACUUGUUCAACCAUACAGGAAGUAAAUUUGGCAUUUAGUUAAUUCUCUCAGAUUUUAAGAUGAUGUGAGCAGAUUUACAUGCAUAAAAAACAUCUGGCUUACAACAAUUAAAGCAAUGUUAAAUAAGCAAAAA